rfam:Caenorhabditis tropicalis strain JT1373 unplaced genomic scaffold Scaffold629, whole genome shotgun sequence.
GUUGGAUAUGGAGAUAUGACACCACAUACAUCAUUUGGAAGGCUAGUUGGAUCAUUAUGUGCAGUUAUGGGUGUAUUAACAAUUGCCCUUCCUGUUCCAGUAAGUUCAUCUGUCUGAA